CAAUGGUUUACCAGCAAUGAAUUAACUCAAUUUGAAGAGCGAUGGUUUCCGUAACUAGUGUGUUUGUGCUGUAAAAGAUUGUUCUUUUUAUAGGUAACAUUAAUUUUUAAGUUGUAUGACGUUUACUUAACAACAUGUAUUCUCCGUAACUCCAGAAGCGGUUGCCUUUUGCGCUAUACCGGUUUAUUUGGCACAAAACCCUCAGGCAUACAAGAGCUGGCAUCUAGGCUGGUUUAUACUCUCCGAGGGAGCUGAGACAUAUGUUUCAAAAUUGGACACAGGUCUGUAAACUGACCUAGAUGACCUUUAAAUCAAACGAAAAUACUGCAUUAAAAAAAAUUAAGACUAAAGAGAAAAAGAGAAAUGGGAUAGCAAGAACUAAGGAGGUCUUCCCAAAGGACUUUCUCGGUCCGCUCCAUUCCCGGGAAACUCGCGGUACGCUAUCUCCUCCCCGGGGCCAGUCCGCUCACGCCCAGGAAGCCGGUCACCUAGCGCCGAACUUCCCCAGACAGCAGCCUCUGGGUGGUCCCUCGGCCCCGCCCUCUCUCCACCUGAGCGCCCUCUGGACCACGCCUCCUCCGAGCGCCCCGCCCCGCCGCCGUCCGACUCUCGGCGGCGCGAAUCGGCGCGCUGACGUCCGACGCUCCAGGUACUUUCCCCGCGGCCGGCCGAGCGAGGCGUGGGGGCGGGGCAGGGCGCGGAGCGCGCAUGCGCCGCAGCGCCAGCGCUCUCCCCGGAUCGUGCGGGGCCUGAGCCUCUCCGCCGGCGCAGGCUCCGCUCGCGCCAGCUCGCUCCCGCCGCCAUGUCCGCCACCGUCGAGCGGGAGUUUGAGGAGUUGGAUGCUCAGAAUCGCUGGCAGCAGCUAUACUUGGAAAUUCGCAAUGAGUCCCAUGACUAUCCUCAUAGAGUGGCCAAGUUUCCAGAAAACAGAAAUCGAAACAGAUACAGAGAUGUAAGCCCAUGUAAGUACUUGUGGGUUUGUGUGCACGUGCGUGUGUGUUGGUUUGUUCCAGGAGGC
rnacentral:lncRNA from 1 species